ensembl:lncRNA
CCUGGAGUGGCCUAGCCAGUCUCAACCCCAUAGAAAAUCUUUGAGGGAGUUGAAAGUCCGUGUUGCCCAGCAACAGCCCCAAAACAUCACUGCUCUAGAGGAGAUCUGCAUGGAGGAAUGGGCCAAAAUACACAACAAGUGUGUGAAAACCUUGUGAAGAAGACUUACAGAAAACGUUUGAACCUCUGUCAUUGCCAACAAAGGGUAUAUAACAAAGUAUUGAGAUGAACUUUUGUUUGACCAAAUACUUAUUUUCCCCCCAUAAUUUGCAAAUAAUUUCAUAAAAAAAUCCUACAAUGUGAUUUUCUGGAUUUUUUUUCUCAUUAAUAAUAUAUAUAUAUUAUAUUAUAUAUAUCUGUCAGUGUACCUAUGAUGAAAUUUACAGGCCUCUCAUCUUUUUAAGUGGGAGAACUUGCACAAUUGGUGGCUGACUAAAUACUUUUUUGCCCACUGUAGGUAUUUUCAGAUUAUUUUUUUGCAUGGGGGUGGGUGGGCUUCUAAACGUAUAGAAGUUAAUAGAAAUAGAAAAUAGAAGGAGGAGGGAGGGGUUGGGUUGGUUCGUCUAGUGUGGGGAGUCUACAGCAGGGAUGGCAACUGUCAGGGACCGAAGUGUCUCGAGGGUCAGUGUACCCCAUCAUGCAGGGCCGAAGUGGCUCGAGGGUCAGCGUACCCAUCAUGCAGGGCCGAAGUGGCUCGAGGGUCAGCGUUCCAUCAUGCAGGGCCGAAGUGUCUCGAGGGUCAGCGUUCCCAUCAUGCAGGGCCGAAGGUCUCGAGGGUCAGCGUAACCAUCAUGCAGGGUCGAAGUGUCUCGAGGGUCAGCGUAACCAUCAUGCAGGGUCAAAGUGUCUCGAGGGUCAGCGUACCCAUCAUGCAGGGCCGAAGUGGCUCGAGGGUCAGCGUUCCCAUCAUGCAGGGCCGAAGUGGCUCGAGGGUCAGCGUUCCCAUCAUGCAGGGCCGAAGUGGCUCGAGGGUCAGCGUUCCCAUCAUGCAGGGCCGAAGUGGCUCGAGGGUCAGCAUUCCCAUCAUGCAGGGCCGAAGUGGCUCGAGGGUCACGUUCCCAUCAUGCAGGGCCAAAGUGGCUCGAGGUCAGCAUUCCCAUCAUGCAGGGCCAAUUCCACACAUUUUCAGGUGGGGAGAAAUGUUUGCAGUUUUUAAUAUAUCUGAAUGAGAGUGACUAACAGAAUCAAUGGUUGACCAUGCCUGCUCUACAGACACGAACUAGUCAAACCAUCCAGGGCUUAGUCCAUCAAAAACACCUACUGAGGUCAGCAAAAAAAUACAGUUAUUUGUGAAUCUUUUUCUAUUAUUCAGCAAUGUAUUAACCAUUGAACAUAGACAUUAAAGGGAAUCUAUGAACUCUAUGGACUCAAUAUUACAGUGUUGUCAAUACUUUUGAUAGUUUCCUAUGUUUUCUGGAUGCCCUGAUGCAGUGGUUCCCAACCAGGGUACUAAGACCCUGGGGGUAUUUGGUCUAUCCACAGGGGUUACUAGAGAAGACUCAUGAGACCACAGGCCUAAUGGUAAAAUCCUCAGGACGGGGUACUUCAGGGUACUCCAGGCAGGAGCAGAUUCAGUUGGUGGCCACAGUAACCAAAACAGGUUGGGAACCACUGGCCUAAAGGGUCUAGACAUCACCAGCUAUCACCACUGUAAAUGACCAGUACAGACAGUCUCCUCAUGGUUGGGAACCACUGGUCUAUAGGUCUAGACAUCACCAGCAUACACCACUGUAAAUGACCAGUACAGACAGUCUCCUCAUGGCCAGCCAAGUAACACCAUCAAGUCUUGGGGAUGGCUUAGGGUGGGUGGGGCUACUGUGGCUGGUGUUUUGCAGGACAGAGACAGGAAGUUAUAGUUAUGUGGUUGAAUGAGUGUUUGAGAUAAGGUGACAUGUUCUAUAAGGUCUGGUAUUCUGCAGGGCGAGAUGUGGAGGGGUCUAUAAGGUCUGGUCUUUCUGCAGGCUGAGAUGUGGGGGGGUCUAUAAGGUCUGGUCUUUCUGCAGGGCUGAGAUGUGGAGGGGUCUAUAGGUCUGGUCUUUCUGCAGUCGGAGAUGUGGAGGGGUCUAUAAGGUCUGGUCUUUCUGCAGGUGAGAUGUGGAGGGGUCUAUAAGGUCUGGUCUUUCUGCAGGGCUGAGAUGUGGAGGGGUCUAUAAGGUCUGGUCUUUCUGCAGGGCUGAGAUGUGGAGGGGUCUAUAAGGUCGGUCUUUCUGCAGGGCUGAGAUGUGGAGGGGUGGAGGUGCUCGUCCAUCCACUCCCUCAGCUGUCCAUCCUUGAAGAUGAGGUUGAGAGCGGGCAGCGGAACACCAGACUCGGCCGGGGGCUGGCUGAGAGGACCGGACACUCCACUGUCAGGGUCGGGCUGACCCUGGGCUGCCAUCCUAAAAGACACACAGGUCAGGGGUCAAAGGUCAGUUUUUUAUAACACAGUACAUUAG